rnacentral:rRNA from 1 species
UACAGAGGUGGCAAGCGUUGUUCGGAAUUACUGGGCGUAAAGCGUGCGCAGGCGGUCUUGCAAGACAGAUGUGAAAUCCCCGGGCUCAACCCCGGGCGUGCGGUGGAUACUGCCGGGCUAGAGGGUGGUAGAGGCGAGUGGAAUUCCCGGUGUAGCGGUGAAAUGCGCAGAUAUCUGGAGGAACACCGGUGGCGAAGGCGGCAUCCUGGACCGGCAUUGACGCUGAGGCGCGAAAGCUAGGGGAGCAAACGGG